rnacentral:rRNA from 1 species
UACGUAGGGGGCAAGCGUUGUCCGGAUUUAUUGGGCGUAAAGAGCUCGUAGGUGGUUCGGUAAGUCGGAUGUGAAAUCUCCAGGCUCAACCUGGAGGGGUCAUUCGAUACUGCCGUGACUAGAGUUCGGCAGGGGAGUGUGGAAUUCCUGGUGGAGCGGUGAAAUGCGCAGAUAUCAGGAGGAACACCCGUAGCGAAGGCGGCACUCUGGGCCGAUACUGACACUGGAGGAGCGAAAGCGUGGGGAGCGAACAGG